GAUGAACGCUGGCGGCGUGCCUAAUACAUGCGAGUCGAGCGAACAGACGAGGAGCUUGCUCCUCUGACGUUAGCGGCGGACGGGUGAGUAACACGUGGAUAACCUACCUAUAAGACUGGGAUAACUUCGGGAAACCGGAGCUAAUACCGGAUAAUAUAUUGAACCGCAUGGUUCAAUAGUGAAAGACGGUUUUGCUGUCACUUAUAGAUGUAUCCGCGCCGCAUUAGCUAGUUGGUAAGGUAACGGCUUACCAAGGCAACGAUGCGUAGCCGACCUGAGAGGGUGAUCGGCCACACUGGAACUGAGACUCAGUCCCGACUCCUACGGGAGGCAGCAGUAGGGAAUCUUCCGCAAUGGGCGAAAGCCUGACGGAGCAACGCCGCGUGAGUGAUGAAGGUCUUCGGAUCGUAAAACUCUGUUAUUAAGGAAGAACAAAUGUGUAAGUAACUAUGCACGUAUUGACGGUACCUAAUCAGAAAGCCACGGCUAACUACGUG
rnacentral:rRNA from 1 species